GGCGAAGUUCAACUCCCGAUGUUUUGCCAACAUCUCUUAGUAUAUAUCAAUUCAAAAGUGCCCUUUCACGAAAAUAUGCCCCCCUUGCCUUCACAUCGUUCCGGCGUCCCUGCCAAUGCAAAUACUGGUUCCUACGCAAGACUUGGCCAUACAUAUCAAGUACCAAGCGGGUAUACCUACAACACGAACAAGGCGAGGAAUCUUCUCGCUGGCACUAUUCAAUUCACACCUAACGAGGUUGAAACAUUUUAUAACUUUUGAUUAAAUUUUCAUGACGUAGAUUUUGCAUUUAGAAACACAUGUAAGAUAGAAAAUAACGUAAAUGAAUGCACCGCACAUCAGGGAAAUUAAAUACAAGUAUAUUAAUAUUGCCAAGUAUAUACGAGUAUUUUAUGCUACUGUACUAUAACUACUGUCGUUAAAUGGGCUGUAUUUAAGCAAUUUGAAUGAAUAAUAACCAUUGUCCCAGCA